AGAGUUUGAUCCUGGCUCAGGAUGAACGCUGGCGGCGUGCCUAAUACAUGCAAGUCGAGCGAACGGACGAGAAGCUUGCUUCUCUGAUGUUAGCGGCGGACGGGGGAGUAACACGUGGAUAACCUACCUAUAAGACUGGGAUAACUUCGGGAAACCGGAGCUAAUACCGGAUAAUAUUUUGAACCGCAUGGUUCAAAAGUGAAAGACGGUCUUGCUGUCACUUAUAGAUGGAUCCGCGCUGCAUUAGCUAGUUGGUAAGGUAACGGCUUACCAAGGCAACGAUGCAUAGCCGACCUGAGAGGGUGAUCGGCCACACUGGAACUGAGACACGGUCCAGACUCCUACGGGAGGCAGCAGUAGGGAAUCUUCCGCAAUGGGCGAAAGCCUGACGGAGCAACGCCGCGUGAGUGAUGAAGGUCUUCGGAUCGUAAAACUCUGUUAUUAGGGAAGAACAUAUGUGUAAGUAACUGUGCACAUCUUGACGGUACCUAAUCAGAAAGCCACGGCUAACUACGUGCCAGCAGCCGCGGUAAUACGUAGGUGGCAAGCGUUAUCCGGAAUUAUUGGGCGUAAAGCGCGCGUAGGCGGUUUUUUAAGUCUGAUGUGAAAGCCCACGGCUCAACCGUGGAGGGUCAUUGGAAACUGGAAAACUUGAGUGCAGAAGAGGAAAGUGGAAUUCCAUGUGUAGCGGUGAAAUGCGCAGAGAUAUGGAGGAACACCAGUGGCGAAGGCGACUUUCUGGUCUGUAACUGACGCUGAUGUGCGAAAGCGUGGGGAUCAAACAGGAUUAGAUACCCUGGUAGUCCACGCCGUAAACGAUGAGUGCUAAGUGUUAGGGGGUUUCCGCCCCUUAGUGCUGCAGCUAACGCAUUAAGCACUCCGCCUGGGGAGUACGACCGCAAGGUUGAAACUCAAAGGAAUUGACGGGGACCCGCACAAGCGGUGGAGCAUGUGGUUUAAUUCGAAGCAACGCGAAGAACCUUACCAAAUCUUGACAUCCUUUGACAACUCUAGAGAUAGAGCUUUCCCCUUCGGGGGACAAAGUGACAGGUGGUGCAUGGUUGUCGUCAGCUCGUGUCGUGAGAUGUUGGGUUAAGUCCCGCAACGAGCGCAACCCUUAAGCUUAGUUGCCAUCAUUAAGUUGGGCACUCUAAGUUGACUGCCGGUGACAAACCGGAGGAAGGUGGGGAUGACGUCAAAUCAUCAUGCCCCUUAUGAUUUGGGCUACACACGUGCUACAAUGGACAAUACAAAGGGCAGCGAAACCGCGAGGUCAAGCAAAUCCCAUAAAGUUGUUCUCAGUUCGGAUUGUAGUCUGCAACUCGACUACAUGAAGCUGGAAUCGCUAGUAAUCGUAGAUCAGCAUGCUACGGUGAAUACGUUCCCGGGUCUUGUACACACCGCCCGUCACACCACGAGAGUUUGUAACACCCGAAGCCGGUGGAGUAACCUUUUAGGAGCUAGCCGUCGAAGGUGGGACAAAUGAUUGGGGUGAAGUCGUAACAAGGUAGCCGUAUCGGAAGGUGCGGCUGGAUCACCU
rnacentral:rRNA from 1 species